UACGUAGGGGGCGAGCGUUGUCCGGAUUUAUUGGGCGUAAAGAGCGUGUAGGCGGCCAAGCAGGUCCGCUGUGAAAACUCGAGGCUCAACCUCGAGAGGUCGGUGGAAACCGUUUGGCUAGAGUCCGGAAGAGGAGAGUGGAAUUCCCGGUGUAGCGGUGAAAUGCGCAGAUAUCGGGAAGAACACCCGUGGCGAAGGCGGCUCUCUGGGACGGUACUGACGCUGAGACGCGAAAGCGUGGGGAGCGAACAGG
rnacentral:rRNA from 1 species